GCCGCAUCCCCGGGGGACCGCUGAUGCGCGGUUGAGAGGUGGCCAGUUCAGGCCACGACCCGCUGAACCUGAUCCGGUUGACACCGGCGGAGGGAGGGAGCGGCUUUCGCCU
rnacentral:ncRNA from 2 species